CGGAUUGUAGUCUGCAACCCGACUACAUGAAGCUGGAAUCGCUAGUAAUCGCGGAUCAGAAUGCCGCGGUGAAUACGUUCCCGGGUCUUGUACACACCGCCCGUCACACCAUGGGAGUCGGAAAUGCCCGAAGUCUGUGACCUAACCGUAAGGAAGGAGCAGCCGAAGGCAGGUCGGAUGACUGGGGUGAAGUCGUAACAAGGUAUC
rnacentral:rRNA from 1 species